GUAAAAGCAAUGAUGGGAUGAGUAAAUCCCUUAAAGCCCUUUCAGAGAGCGGGGGGAGGUGAAAGCCCGCAGGGAUAAAAGGAUUGAACAUGGCCCCAGAGCUACCGAUUCGAAGGGAUUGCCCAUUAGGGUCGGUCGGAAAAGCACCGUUACAGGCUUAUUAGUGCCUAAGGCACUAACUAAGGCUGUUAUCGUAAGGUGACAGUAAAUUAGGGUGGUACCGCGGGUAACAACCUCGCCCCUGCA
rnacentral:ncRNA from 1 species